GACGAACGCUGGCGGCGUGCUUAACACAUGCAAGUCGAACGGAAAGGCCCUGCUUGCCGGGUACUCGAGUGGCGAACGGGUGAGUAACACGUGGGUGAUCUGCCCUGCACUUCGGGAUAAGCCUGGGAAACUGGGUCUAAUACCGGAUAGGAGCCAUUUUUAGUGUGAUGGUUGGAAAGUUUUUUUCGGUGUAGGAUGAGCUCGCGGCCUAUCAGCUUGUUGGUGGGGUAAUGGCCUACCAAGGCGGCGACGGGUAGCCGGCCUGAGAGGGUGGACGGCCACAUUGGGACUGAGAUACGGCCCAGACUCCUACGGGAGGCAGCAGUGGGGAAUAUUGCACAAUGGGCGCAAGCCUGAUGCAGCGACGCCGCGGGGGGGAUGACGGCCUUCGGGUUGUAAACUCCUUUCGCUAGGGACGAAGCUUUUUGUGACGGUACCUAGAUAAGAAGCACCGGCUAACUACGUG
rnacentral:rRNA from 1 species